rnacentral:rRNA from 1 species
CCUACGGGAGGCAGCAGUGAGGAAUAUUGGUCAAUGGGCGCGAGCCUGAACCAGCCAAGUAGCGUGAAGGAUGCCUGCCCUACGGGUUGUACACUUCUUUUAUAAAGGAAUAAAGUGAGGCACUUGUGCCUUUUUGUAUGUACUUUAUGAAUAAGGAUCGGCUAACUCCGUGCAAGCAGCCGCGGUAAUACUGAGGAUGCGAGCGUUAUCCGGAUUUAUUGGGAGUAAAGGGAGGGUAGAUGGGGUGUUAAGUCAGUUGUGAAAGUUUGCGGCUCAAACGGAAAAUUGAAAUUGAUACAGGGAGUCUUGAGUACAGUUGAGGUAGGCGGAAUUCGUGGUGUAGCGGUGAAAUGCUUAGAGAUCAAGAAGAACUCAGAUUGCGAAGGCAGAUUACUAAACUGCCACUGACAUUGAUGCUCGAAAGUGAGGGUAGCAAACAGGAGUAGAUACCCUAGUAGUC